rnacentral:rRNA from 1 species
CCUACGGGGGGCAGCAGUGGGGAAUAUUGCACAAUGGGCGCAAGCCUGAUGCAGCGACGCCGCGUGGGGGAUGACGGCCUUCGGGUUGUAAACCUCUUUCACCAUCGGCGAAGCCGGGGGGUUUUCUCUUCGGUGACGGUAGGUGGAGAAGAAGCACCGGCCAACUACGUGCCAGCAGCCGCGGUAAUACGUAGGGUGCGAGCGUUGUCCGGAAUUACUGGGCGUAAAGAGCUCGUAGGUGGUUUGUCGCGUUGUCCGUGAAAUUCCCUGGCUUAACUGG